UACGUAGGGGGCGAGCGUUGUUCGGAAUCAUUGGGCGUAAAGCGCGUGUAGGCGGCUCGGUAAGUCCGGUGUGAAACCUUGGGGCUCAACCCCAAGCCUGCACUGGAUACUGUCGAGCUCGAGUCCGGGAGGGGAGAGCGGAAUCUAGUGUAGCGGUGAAAUGCGCAGAUAUUAGGAAGAACACCGGUGGCGAAGGCGGCUCUCUGGAACGGUACUGACGCUGAGACGCGAAAGCGUGGGGAGCGAACGAG
rnacentral:rRNA from 1 species